GACGAACGCUGGCGGCGUGCCUAAUACAUGCAAGUUGAGCGCUGAAGGUUGGUACUUGUACCAACUGGAUGAGCAGCGAACGGGUGAGUAACGCGUGGGGAAUCUGCCUUUGAGCGGGGGACAACAUUUGGAAACGAAUGCUAAUACCGCAUAAAAACUUUAAACACAAGUUUUAAGUUUGAAAGAUGCAAUUGCAUCACUCAAAGAUGAUCCCGCGUUGUAUUAGCUAGUUGGUGAGGUAAAGGCUCAACAAGGCGAUGAUACAUAGCCGACCUGAGAGGGUGAUCGGCCACAUUGGGACUGAGACACGGCCCAAACUCCUACGGGAGGCAGCAGGAGGGAAUCUUCGGCCAUGGACGAAAGUCUGACCGAGCAACGCCGCGUGAGGGAAGAAGGUUUUCGGAUCGUAAAACUCUGUUGGUAGAGAAGAACGUUGGUGAGAGUGGAAAGCUCAUCAAGUGACGGUAACUACCCAGAAAGGGACGGCUAACUACGUG
rnacentral:rRNA from 1 species